rnacentral:misc_RNA from 1 species
GAUGAAGAACGCAGCAAAAUGCAAUAAGUAAUGUGAAUUGCAGAAUUCAGUGAAUCAUCGAAUCUUUGAACGCACAUUGCGCCCGCCAGUAUUCUGGCGGGCAUGCCUGUUCGAGCGUCAUUUCAACCCUCAAGCACAGCUUGGUGUUGGGACUCGCGUUAAUUCGCGUUCCCCAAAUUGAUUGGCGGUCACGUCGAGCUUCCAUAGCGUAGUAGUAAAACCCUCGUUACUGGUAAUCGUCGCGGCCACGCCGUUAAACCCCAACUUCUGAAUGUUGACCUCGGAUCAGGUAGGAAUACCCGCUGAACUUAAGCAUAUCAAUAAGCGGAGGA